rnacentral:lncRNA from 1 species
UUAGUUGUUUCUCAAGUCUAGAGGUGUUAAGAGAAGGACAAUACUUGGGUUACAUGAUGGACAUGGUGUCCAUUAUGUUCAAGUAGAUUAAUCCUUAAGAGAAUGCGUUGGAUCAACUUGUUUAUAGAUUUGCACUUUACAUGUUUAUGGAGAAAAUGAUGUCAUUAAAAAGUGGGGGGAAUUGUGGGUUUCGUAACGUAUGGUUGAAAAUUAUUUUUGGAAAAAAUAAUGAUAUUUAAAAAAAUUGUAACAAAUAAGUUUUGAAUUUGAAACGCUCCUCUCAAAAUUAACUAUGUUUAAGAAGUGUUUAUAAAUGAUUUAAAUUAUAAAUCGAUAUAAAUGAGUGGUGGAUAAUGAAUAUUACUAAUGGAUCCCUAUAAUUAUAUAAGUACGAAGUGUCAUAAAUAUGCUUCAAAUAUAGACUAAAUUUUCCCAUAAAAAGAGAGUGCAAGUAUUCUCCAACCAACCAAAAUCGGAAUACCAGGUGAAGAUGGGACUUCUCCACAGUCUAUGCCAUUUAGAGUCUUAACAUUCUUCACCACAGGGAAUGAAUUUCCAAUUACAUCUACUCUUAAGCUCUCUUCUUCUACAAUAUCUUCUCUUGGAUUUUCAAAUCAGCAUUACAUGCAAUUUCAUUACCAAAAAGUCAACAACAAAUGGAUCCUGCAAUGAUAUAAGUAUUUUCAAGAAACUCUUCAAAUAUAAAAUGUUCUCUAUUUUAAAGAAUUAAUUAUUAAAACAUGUUUCAAGAAACUCUUUAAAUUAAUAUUUUAAUUUAGAAACUGCGUUUGACUUUUCAAUUUGGCCAAACUCACUCUCUAUAAUUAAAUGUAUUCAAAGUAUUUCAAUUUUCAAUGUAAGAAAAUAAUAAAAUAAUCUAAAGAAAAGCUAAUUAAAAUAAAAGAUAAAGAAAAAUAAUAAUAAUAAAUUUAAUGGUAAAAUUAAGUGUUAAAUAUAAAGAGAUUGAUGGAGUAGUUCAAAAUUUUAAUUCUCUAAAUUUAUAGAUGCCCUUUAAAUGAUAAAAUAUGCUCUUUAAAAAUAAAGAGUCUCUUGAAAAUAUUCGUAUACAUAAGUAAUCAUAUUUAGACUUUUAUUUAUACAUCUUCAAUU